GAUACAGGCUAGCGGCGGACGGGUGAGUAACACGUGGGUAACCUGCCCAAGAGAUCGGGAUAACACCUGGAAACAGAUGCUAAUACCGGAUAACAACAGAUGAUGCCUAUCAACUGUUUAAAAGAUGGUUCUGCUAUCACUCUUGGAUGGACCUGCGGUGCAUUAGCUAGUUGGUAGGGUAACGGCCUACCAAGGCGAUGAUGCAUAGCCGAGUUGAGAGACUGAUCGGCCACAUUGGGACUGAGACACGGCCCAAACUCCUACGGGAGGCAGCAGUAGGGAAUCUUCCACAAUGGACGCAGGUCUGAUGGAGCAACGCCGCGUGAGUGAAGAAGGGUUUCGGCUCGUAAAGCUCUGUUGUUGGUGAAGAAGGACAGGGGUAGUAACUGACCUUUGUUUGACGGUAAUCAAUUAGAAAGUCACGGCUAACUACGUGCCAGCAGCCGCGGUAAUACGUA
rnacentral:rRNA from 1 species